GCCGGUUUAGCUCAGUAGGUAGAGCAAGCGGCUGUUAACCGCUGGGCCAUAGGUUCAAGUCCUAUAACCGGCG
rnacentral:tRNA from 1 species